UUUUUGAGAGACGCUAUGUGCCAGCUAAUUGCCACUUGUUAGGGGACAGUGGCUACCCAUGCAAACCAUGGCUCCUUACACCUUACCUCCAGCCACGCCAAGGGCCCCAACUAAACUAUAACAGGGCCCACAAGACAACAAGAGCGGUGGUGGAGCGUGGCAUAGGCCAGCUUAAGAGGCGCUUUCAUGUUCUCCACGGAGAGGUGCGGCUGAGGCCUGAAAAAGUCAGCAAACUCAUCAUAGCCUGUGCAAUAUUACACAAUAUUUGCAAGGUUAGACAGAUUGCAGAACCUCUGGAGGAUGGCGAUGAGGAUGAGGAUGGAGACAACGAUGAGGAUGGUGGUGAAGAAGAUAUUCACAUUCCACAGGGGAACCUAGCCCAGAGUGGACUGCCUUACAGGGCAAACUUCACAAAUUUACAUUUCAGGCAAGCUGUAGCCCCAUGUCAUUUGAGAACUUGUGAUGGUAUUAAGAACUACCACAGUUUUACUGCACAUCACCUGCAACUGUUAAAUGCAAGACACAGAACACAAUCUCUAAAUGGUUUAUUUUUUAGGUGUUCAAUUUUAAGGCGGUAGUACUCCUCCUGAAGGGAAAGGACUUUUUUUUGUUGUUCAAACACAUCAAUUGUGAGUUGCAAUCUUCUCUCCUGCAGGGAUGCUGACGGAGCAGGUGCUGCGGAUGGGAAUGGUGUUUGAUCCGCCGGGCUAUCCUGAGUAGCAGCUGCAGAUGGUUCAGGCGGCAAACUUGAUGGGCCCGGUUCUUGUGAUGGCUCCAUGCUACAGAAAUACAUAGGCCUAGUUUAAUUAUUGUUUUGAUUAAAUUAAUUUAAUACAAUGAGCAUGGAUAACACAUGAAAUGGCUUCUGCAAUGAAUAAACACUGUUGAUAUGAA